rnacentral:piRNA from 1 species
GGAGGAAGCAGCCUCAGAACAGAUGGA